AUGAUCUCUCUCUCACCAUCUCUCAUUCUCUCUCUCAAGUCUUACCAUCUUCCACAAAAACUUAGGCCGCAACUAAAUUAGGCCAUGUCCUUUUAGAAUAGAUGAGGCCUUCAUCAGAUCCAUCCACCACGUCGUCCACUGCGGCUAAUCGACGGACUAUCCCCCAAAGCAAGGUCGCCGUUCUCGGUGUUCUCCAUCAUCAGGAUAUGGAAUCAUAGAUCUGGAAGGGAUGGAUGAGAUGAAGCCGGAAUUUUUUCUUUUUUGAUGUGAUAUGGGAAUUGAAAGCUAUGUUUAAAGCUUUGAUAUUUUUUUGUUAUUAAUUUUUUUUCUUAUGAACUUUGGCACAUUGAUUAUAGCAAACCCAGAUCAGUAUGUUUGCUGAGAUUAGUACUAAGCUUCAGAGUUUGAUUU